rnacentral:lncRNA from 1 species
UUUCUGAUUUUCUGUUUACGUUUUUUUUUUUUUUUUUUUUUUUUAAAAAAAUGUUCUUCUGUUUUUGUUUGUGCCUUUUUUUUUAAACUGAUCUCUCGAAUUCCCUUUUUAAUAAAAUCGUGUUUGUAUUUUGUUGGUAUGUUUACUUUUUCAGUUAUUCAAAGCAUUUUCACCAUAGAAUAUUAAAACAUCAACAGCAGUUUUAUUAUUAUUAUUAUUAUUAUUAUUCGGAUUUAUUAUGAUAAAUUGUGAGGACUCGUAGUCUUAUUUUCAUUCAACUUUAUAAUUUAUUAUUUAUACUUCAUUUGCCACUUACAAAAU